GACGAACGCUGGCGGCGUGCCUAAUACAUGCAAGUAGAACGCUGAGGACUGGUGCUUGCACCGGUUCAAGGAGUUGCGAACGGGUGAGUAACGCGUAGGUAACCUACCUCAUAGCGGGGGAUAACUAUUGGAAACGAUAGCUAAUACCGCAUGACAAUGGAGGACCCAUGUCUUUCAUUUAAAAGGUGCAACUGCAUCACUAUGAGAUGGACCUGCGUUGUAUUAGCUAGUUGGUGAGGUAACGGCUCACCAAGGCGACGAUACAUAGCCGACUGAGAGGGUGAACGGCCACACUGGGACUGAGACACGGCCCAG
rnacentral:rRNA from 1 species